rnacentral:rRNA from 1 species
CCUACGGGUGGCAGCAGUGGGGAAUUUUGCGCAAUGCUCGUAAGAGUGACGCAGCGACGCCGCGUGAAUGACGAAGGCCUUCGGGUUGUAAACCACUUUUGUAGAGAACGAAAAGUCUGUUGAUAAUACCGAUAGAUGAUGACGGUACUCUAAGAAUAAGCACCGGCUAACUACGUGCCAGCAGCCGCGGUAAUACGUAGGGUGCGAGCGUUAAUCGGAAUUACUGGGCGUAAAGGGUGUGCAGGCGGUUUUGCAAGAUGGAUGUGAAAGCCCCGGGCUUAACCUGGGAAAGCCAUACAUGACUGCAAGACUAGAGUGCGUCAGAGGGGGGUGGAAUUCCAAGUGUAGCAGUGAAAUGCGUAGAUAUUUGGAAGAACACCGAUGGCGAAGGCAGCCCCCUGGGACGCAACUGACGCUCAUACACGAAAGCGUGGGGAGCAAACAGGAUUAGAUACCCGGGUAGUC